rnacentral:rRNA from 1 species
UACGUAGGGUGCAAGCGUUGUCCGGAAUUAUUGGGCGUAAAGAGCUCGUAGGCGGUUUGUUGCGUCGGCUGUGAAAUCCCGAGGCUCAACCUCGGGUCUGCAGUCGAUACGAGCAAACUAGAGUGUUGCAGGGGAGACUGGAAUUCCUGGUGUAGCGGUGAAAUGCGCAGAUAUCAGGAAGAACACCGGUGGCGAAGGCGGGUCUCUGGGCCACUACUGACGCUGAGGAGCGAAAGCGUGGGGAGCGAACAGG